rnacentral:rRNA from 1 species
AUGCAAAAGUUAAUUUUUUGCCUCAUCACGGCCUCAAGGAAACUGCGCCACUACUUCCAAGCCCAUGAGAUUAUGGUUGUCACCCGCUUUCCAUUGCAAAGGAUACUCCGGAACCCUGAGGCUACCAGCAGAAUAGUGGAGUGGGCUUUGGAGUUAUCCAUCUUUGGCCUGAAGUUUGAAAGCACCUCAACAAUCCAGAGCAAGGCAUUGGCAGAGUUUAUUGCAGAAUGGAUGCCAACCCUUGAUGAAGAAGUGAUGGAAACAGUUAUUCCCGGCAAGGAAGUGCCCCAAGAAUGGAUUAUGUAUUUCGAUGGUGCUUUCUCCCUGCAAGGUGCAGGGGCUGGCAUGCUUCUCGUUGCUCCCACUAGCGAGCACCUAAAGUACGUCGUCCAGAUGCAUUUUCCCCGGGAGGAAGUGAUACAUCUCCAACGUAUCUAUAAUUUUUGA